UNAAAGGUUUGGUCCUGGCCUUUUUAUUGAUUACUAGUAGACUUACACAUGCAAGCAUCCUCGACCCAGUGAGAAUGCCCUCCAAAUCNNAAUAUGAUCCAAAGGAGCAGGUAUCAAGCACACUAUNNAUUUAAAUANUAGUUGCUCAUAACACCUUGCUUAACCACACCCCCACGGGACGCAGCAGUGAUUAAGAUUGAGCNUAUGAACGAAAGUUCGACUGAGUCAUACUANACANUUAGGGUUGGUAAAUUUCGUGCCAGCCACCGCGGUCAUACGGUUAACCCAAGUCAAUAAAAAUACGGCGUAAAGCGUGAUUAAAANNGUANUAGCCCAAUAAGACUAAGCUUAGACUAAGCCGUAAAAAGCCCUAGUCCUAAUAAAAAUAAACNUAACGAAAGGAGUCUUAAAACUUUUGAAUUCACGAUAGCUAAGACCCAAACUGGGAUUAGAUACCCCACUAUGCCUAGCCUUAAACAUAAAUAAUCAGUUAACAAGAUUGUUCGCCAGAGAACUACUAGCCACAGCUUAAAACUCAAAGGACUUGGCGGUGCUUUACACCCCUCUAGAGGAGCCUGUUCUAUAAUCGAUAAACCCCGAUACACCUUACCACCUUUUGCAAANAUCAGCCUAUAUACCGCCAUCUUCAGCAAACCUUAACAAAGCCUCACAGUAAGCUUAAUUAUAUUACNAUAAGUACGUUAGGUCAAGGUGUAGCCUAUAAGGUGGAAAGCAAUGGGCUACAUUUUCUAUNUUACUAGAACAUUUNCUNCACGACAACUUUGAUGAAANCUCANNAAGUCCAAGGCGGAUUUAGUAGUAAGCUAAGAGUAGAGAGCUUAGCUGAAUCGGGCAAAAAAGCACGCACACACCGCCCGUCACCCUCUUCAAGUCCUGUGAACNAGACGAAAUGCUACCUAACAAUAUUCCAAUUAACAGUAUGAGAAGAGACAAGUCGUAACAAGGUAAGCGUACUGGAAAGUGCGCUUGGAACAAU
rnacentral:ncRNA from 1 species